rnacentral:rRNA from 1 species
UACAGAGGUCUCAAGCGUUGUUCGGAUUCAUUGGGCGUAAAGGGUGUGUAGGUGGCGCCCGUAAGUCGGGUGUGAAAUUUCGGAGCUUAACUCCGAAACUGCAUUCGAUACUGGCGAUCUUGAGUCCGGAAGAGGUGAGUGGAACUCCUAGUGUAGAGGUGAAAUUCGUAGAUAUUAGGAAGAACACCAGUGGCGAAGGCGGCUCACUGGCCCGGUACUGACGCUGAGGUGCGAAAGCGUGGGGAGCAAACAGG